rnacentral:rRNA from 1 species
ACGGGUGAGUAAUGCAUGGGGAUCUGCCCAGUAGCGGGGGACAACCCGGAGAAAUCCGGGCUAAUACCGCAUACGCCCUACGGGGGAAAGCGGGGGACCGAAAGGCCUCGCACUAUUGGAGGAACCCAUGUCCGAUUAGCUAGUUGGUGAGGUAACGGCUCACCAAGGCGACGAUCGGUAGCUGGUCUGAGAGGACGAUCAGCCACACCGGAACUGAGACACGGUCCGGACUCCUACGGGAGGCAGCAGUGGGGAAUAUUGGACAAUGGGGGAAACCCUGAUCCAGCAAUGCCGCGUGGGUGAAGAAGGCCUGCGGGUUGUAAAGCCCUUUCGGUGAAGACAAAACGCGCCACAUUAACACCGUGGUGUUUUGAUUUAACUCACUAAAGAAGCACCGGCUAACUCUGUGCCAGCAGCCGCGG